rnacentral:rRNA from 1 species
UACGUAGGGUGCGAGCGUUGUCCGGAAUUAUUGGGCGUAAAGAGCUCGUAGGCGGUUUGUCACGUCUGCUGUGAAAUCCCGAGGCUCAACCUCGGGCCUGCAGUGGGUACGGGCAGACUGGAGUGCGGUAGGGGAGAAUGGAAUUCCUGGUGUAGCGGUGGAAUGCGCAGAUAUCAGGAGGAACACCGAUGGCGAAGGCAGUUCUCUGGGCCGUAACUGACGCUGAGACGCGAAAGCGUGGGGAGCGAACAGG